rnacentral:rRNA from 1 species
UCCUACGGGGGGCAGCAGUCGGGAAUAUUGCGCAAUGGAGGAAACUCUGACGCAGUGACGCCGCGUGCAGGAAGAAGGUUUUCGGAUUGUAAACUGCUUUAGACAGGGAAGAAACAAGACAGUACCUGUAGAAUAAGCUCCGGCUAACUACGUGCCAGCAGCCGCGGUAAUACGGAGGAUGCGAGCGUUAUCCGGAUUUAUUGGGUUUAAAGGGUGCGUAGGCGGAAUGCCAAGUCAGCGGUAAAAUCGCGGGGCUCAACCUCGCUCCGCCGUUGAAACUGGCGUUCUUGAGUGGGCGAGAAGUA